AUGGAAGGGAAAGUGGUUGGGAUUGAAGUGGGAAUGUUGGGAAGUGAAGUGAGUGCUGGCAAUGGUGGAAUGUUGAGAGUUGGAAUAUUUGUAAGAAAGCUAGGAAGUGGUGGCAUAGUGAGUUUUGGAAGAGAGGGAAUGGUAGUUGGCACUGGCAAUGGUGGAAGACUUGGUAGAGGCAAUGUUGGAAUUGAAGGCAAAGGUGGCAAUGGUUUUCAAUACGCAUAA